UACUUUUCUGACUCUGUCAAUCUGUUUUUUCACAUCAGCAGGUGGGUAUUGUAGUUUUAAGAAUGCUUGAUAGAGAUCCUGUAGGUGUUUGUCUCUGUCUGAGGGAUUGGAGCAAAUGUGGUUGUAUCUUAGCGCUUGGUUGUAGACAACGGAUCGUUUGGUGUGCCCUGAAUGGAAGGUGGAG